GAAGAAAAGGACAAAUAUAGCUUUAAAGAUAAAUUAGAAUCCAGUUAACAUUUAAAGUUUUGCAAUCUGAAGGAAAAGUCGUAAGAUGAUGAAAUGGUGGUGUCAGUACCAAUUUCACAACACUAGUGUUACAAGACACGCAACUUCACAUUGAGCCCAGGGAGUAGAGCUCUAAUUAAAACAGGUUUACAGCCAUAAAAUUGGCAAAAUGACAAAAAUAGACAGAGAGCAAUUUCCAUUUAAUUUCGAGCUUCUCUGUUUGUCUCAAGUUGUUUGUUAUACUCCAGCAUGUCAGUCACAUUGAAAAAAGGCAAAUCUGGGAGGUUUCGAAUGUGCGAAGGAGCACUGUAUGAAUUGAUGAGCAGCUGAUUAAAGUACUGUGAAUAGGUAUGCUAAAUACCAUUCACUAUGUAUGAAUGAAUGAAUGUUUGGUUUUUAUUGGCGCAAGGGCCAGGUAUGGCCAAAGAGCGCCAAGCCAGUGUUGAUGAAUUCGCAAUGUAGUUACGAGUUCAAUGAGGUUGAUGUGACGUGGCUGUAAAGGGGCCUUACAAAUAGUCGCUUUAGAGUGCGUAAAAUCUAUCUGUUAUAAGACUAUGUCGAUGAUAAUGACAUGUUCUAUGAGCAAUAAAAUCCAUCGUGAGAGAAUGAUGCAUUAUAAAAGAUAUGUGAGAUGGUAAACAUACCUGGAGCACUACUGCCUCGCCAGAGCCCUUGAAACACAAGGGCCUGGAGGCAUGUGCUAUACAGUAUGACUAUCACAACGGCAUCCUCACGAUAGAGGAAGCGCUACGAAUGUAUGGUACUAAUAACGUGUAGGACAACAUCUCUGAGGAAACCUAGGAGAGUGUUUGUAUUAAAAAGCGGUUCUGGACCGAGAAACAUUACAGUGUUGAUGGUAUGCUAAGGAAAAAAAUGGCUGUGGCUUAGCUAAGGUUGGGCCCAGGAUGCGAAGCAUACUAGCCUUUAUUUUAGUUGUUGAACCACUGUUUAGCCUGGUGAACUGCUGUUGCUUGGCUAUAUUUGGUUCGGCUAGACGAAGAAACAACUCAAGCAGGCGAGUGCACGAGCUGAGACCCGGCUAUGUAGCUACGCGGCCGCAAGCGAGCGCACGAGUUGAGCCUCCGCUUUUGCAGCUGUUAUGACGUCAUAUGGUAGCUACGUGGCCGCGCGCGGCGCAGCAAGGAAGAGCAUGGUUGUGCGGCUAGUAUGCUUCGCAUAAAAUGUCUCCUUCUCUCAGAUUCGGCUUUCUGACACUCCAGGAGGACGUGGAGCAUGCUCAGCCUCUCCCCGCAUCUGCCACAGGUUGGAGGGUCAUUUCCGAUUCGGCUUUCCGACACUCCAGGAGGACGUGGAGCACGGUCAGCCUCUCUCCGCAUCUGCCACAGGUUGGAGGGUCAUUUCCGAUCCUUCCUCACCAAGAAACACAAGAAUGCAGCGGCAAGUGUCCCUCCAAGGAAACAUCACAUGUGCCAGAAAAUUACCUAGUCUAUAUUCUCCCACUCUUUCUUAUCCUUCCUAUUUAUGUCCCUGCCUUAGCUUUUCUAAAAUGCUUCAUCGCCAACAAACCCAAGAAUGCAGCAGCAAGUGUCCCUUCAAGGGAACAUGAUAUGCGACAACAAAUCACCUCGGCUAUAGUCUCCCUCUCCUUUCUUAUCCUUGGUAUCCAUGUGCCUGUGUUCGCUUUUCUGACACUUCCUGAUCAAGAAACCCAAAAAUGCAGCGGCAACUGUCCUCCUAGUCAUGCCAUGUCCAGCCAUGCCCCUGUGCCCUUUCCCAGAUAUGGCCACCACUGUGAUCCAAGUAUCCUGAUUGCCACCUACUCAACUUUCUUGUGUACAGGGCACUACUUUUGUUGGAAAGGUGAACUUUCCCUCUUUCCCUGUAAACCCUAUUGUUUUGUCAGCCGGCUCUGUCAAAAUGGAAGCUUUGAAGCCUCUUUUCUCGUGCAUCGUCACGUUGCACCUAGCAAUGCCUUCUUUAUCUGUUACAUUUAAUUUAGCUAAGCUGAUGUCAUUGUUUUGCUCGGCUGCCAGUGACUCUGUCCACACAUAAGAGCUGAUGUAAGUUCUUUGAGGCCGGUGACAAUGACACCGUCUCGCUUGCGAGUGUGUCAGCUGACUCUCCUUGCAGGCGUGAACUUUGACACAUGCCUUGUGAUAUGCUCUCGUUGAGCUAGUCAGUUGGCAGGAUUUCCACAACUGCUUUUUCAACCCUCGAGCCUAGCUCAGUUUCUGUUGCCGAGUUUACCUCUUUUGCUACUUCUGCUGGAGCGGCUUUUGCAUUUUCAGAUGAAAGCGACGUGAUUUGACGAGCUUGGGAUCGCGUCAACGCCUAUGCUAAGCCCUCUCCAAGUUUCAGCCCCUCCUCACGCAGGAACUGAUUUGACCGAUUCGAGGGAAUGCAAGGGUACUGCAGCGACAAGAAUUUGGAAACUGCAGCCUCAAUCACGAGCUCCCCAAACCGCCCACUGAUUUUGACUUUCACCAUCAGUAGACACAUGCUGUGUUAUUCCACAACCUGUUUAAUCCAUGCUACUUCAUCAGUGAAGUCGUCUACCGUCACACAAGAUGGAUGGACAAUGUCCAUGGUGGCAGCAAUAUCUCGUAGCACCUGGCAUGGUUUUACAUUAAUAUGCAGGUAGUAAAGAUAUGGGCAUAGAAGUUCCGUGUUCUAGUCUCAUUCGUCCCCGUAAAAAAAAACUACCCUAGGCUUCCCGCAGUUCGCAUAAAUAUGUCCAAGUUUGUGGCACUUAUAGAAGAGGAUCAGUCUAAAAGAUUUGGAUUCCCCUUUCUGCUCUUUUUGGAUGGCUUCACCAUUUGACUUCUCUUCGCUCUUUUCUGAUGUCCGUUUCUCCACGUCUACAUGCUCUGGUCAUUUCGUCUGUGAUCCCUUUCUGAACGGAAAUUGUUUCCACAGUCCAUUUUGGCCGUCCCAAUUUUUCAUCUUCGCAGUCAGCUUUCUACGCGUUGCAUACUCUGGCUAAUUCGACUGCCCUUUCCACAGUGUCUUCCUCUGACUUGCACCCACAGCUUCAAAAAUUGUGGGAUGCUUUUGUAAAACUGCUCUAGACACAUACAUUGAAUAAUCAUGUCUCUGCUCUCGUAUGCUUCCACGCUUUUCAACCACUCAACUAGGUUUGCCUUUAAGCCGUAUGAAAACUCCGGAUAUCCCUCACUAUCCUUUUUGCCCGUGCUUCGAAACCUUUGCCGAAAAGCUUUGGCUGAAAGGCGGUACUUUCUCAAAAAGCUAGCCUUAGCCUUAGCCUUCGCAUCAUAAUCAUAUGCAUCUUGCGCUCCAAGUCUGGCAAUUACUUCAGCAGCUUUACACGGCAACAUAGACGGCAACCGCUGUGGCCAUGUACUUGGAGCGAAGUUCAUUUUCUCGCAAGUCCUUUCAAAAUUUCCUAGGAACAACCCUAUGUCGUUCCCAACUUCAAAUGGCUUUAACAGCCUUUCCAUGGAGUAUGGUUCUGCCUCAUUUGAUCGUUCCAGAGCCCUUUCACUCGUUCGAGAAAACUGCAAACAUUUACUUUCAAGGCCAAGUUGCAUUUUUCUUAACUCGCGAUCUUUGUUGCAUUCCGCUCUGUCCUGUUCUUUCUUUCUCUGUCUGUCCCGUUCUCUCUCCCUAUCCCGUCUCUCUCUUCUCCUAAAAAGUGAUAACCCAAUUCCAAUCUCCUCCUCACUGGCCUGUUCGGAAAUCAGCUUUAAUAUUUCCAAUUUCAUCAUUUCCUUGUGUAUUUCUUGGCCCAGUUCCUCACCGACAACCAACAAUUCGUCUCUCAGCAGUAUCCUGAAAUCCAUGAUAGCUGUUUUACUGCCUUGGUCCUGCUUGCUAAACGUGGCUAGGUAAACACAACCUAGCUAACGAUCAACAAUCCAGCUUUCCUACUGUUCUAAACUGAACAACGACAACAUGAAGCCUAGAGAGCCAAAGCAAAACCAUGUACUCACGGCAGACACAGCACCACGUCGCAAAGUCUGUCUCACCGUUGCCAGCUAGUUGUAAGAAUUGGGGUCGGGCAUGUCAAAAUGGGGUAGCUGGCCCAUGCCGUUGUCUGACACAUCCACGCUAAGGACGUUGUUAAAGGGAGAAACACGUUCUCAUCAAGAAUGAGGAGUACUGGGUUUAGUUACAAUAUCUACAUGAAGAGUGGAGAUUGUUACAUCUCAUCAGACUAGCAUGACUGAAGUGAAGCAAACCGAGGUGCUGAAAAAGUUUGCUUAAACCCCCUCUGUCCUCCCUAGAUCCCUAGGCCCGGGAAAACUUCCGCCCCCUUCUUCCAAAUGGAGCGUCCCAAGUCAUCGAAGGGCCUGCGUUGAGGGCAAGGGUUCACACAAUCACUCCCGAACCUUUUUUCACUGAAUACACACAAAGGAAGGGAGCUUCGUAGAUGGGGAUUGCCACGCUUCACUCAAGCUGGCACCUCUCGGUUCCUGGGAUGACACCUCAGUUAGCUGGAGCGUCUGUUAAACGACCGUGGCGGUCACCGGACUCCAUGAGGGAAUGCCUCAGAACACCCCUUUUCAGGAGCUUUCUUGCUCCCAUUGGUUCGUGAAGGCCACAGUGAACCAACGAACAAUACUCUGUCUGCCAAACGUGUCUUGCCUUGCGGGCGCCGCAGGUCUGUCCGAGGGUGAUGCAAUGUCAGCUUCACGAAGCAAUUCGUCGCAGUGGGGCUGGAAAGGCUAGAAGUUCACUACCCCCCGCAGGCCGAUCGUAAUAACAGCCUUCCCAAAAAUGCUGAACACACUUCUUUCUUUAAGGCAUUCUUUCCAUAGGCUUUUUGAAACAUUUGAUGAAUUUCUGUACAAUUUUUGCAAAAUUUCACAGCAAAUCAGAUAUUGAUCAUUUGCUCUGUCUGCACAUUGAUUUGCAUUUCGAUAAAGACUAAAAAUAGGUUGCACAAAAAAGUGCACACAUAAAAUUCUACCUUAUCAUGCAGCAGUUCAGCUUGUACUAGAGAUACAUUGGCUCCUUUUGGGUGGAGAGAGUGAGAGCAGUGCUGUUACACGUUUUUGCUGACUCCCACCCACCUCUCCCACGUUUUUGCUGACUCACUGCAUAAACUCUUGAAAUAUAUCUCAUACAUAUGUUGCAUACAAAAUUAAGCCACCUUCAUUGGCUUGAGU